rnacentral:rRNA from 1 species
GGCCUAUCAGCUUGUUGGUGGGGUAAUGGCCUACCAAGGCGACGACGGGUAGCCGGCCUGAGAGGGCGACCGGCCACACUGGGACUGAGACACGGCCCAGACUCCUACGGGAGGCAGCAGUGGGGAAUAUUGCACAAUGGGGGAAACCCUGAUGCAGCGACGCAGCGUGCGGGAUGACGGCCUUCGGGUUGUAAACCGCUUUCAGCAGGGAAGAAGCGAAAGUGACGGUACCUGCAGAAGAAGUACCGGCUAACUACGUGCCAGCAGCCGCGGUAAUACGUAGGGUACGAGCGUUGUCCGGAAUUAUUGGGCGUAAAGAGCUCGUAGGUGGUUGGUCACGUCUGCUGUGGAAACGCAACGCUUAACGUUGCGCGUGCAGUGGGUACGGGCUGACUAGAGUGCAGUAGGGGAGUCUGGAAUUCCUGGUGUAGCGGUGAAAUGCGCAGAUAUCAGGAGGAACACCGGUGGCGAAGGCGGGACUCUGGGCUGUAACUGACACUGAGGAGCGAAAGCAUGGGGAGCGAACAGGAUUAGAUACCCUGGUAGUCCAUGCCGUAAACGUUGGGCACUAGGUGUGGGGGACAUUCCACGUUCUCCGCGCCGUAGCUAACGCGUUAAGUGCCCCGCCUGGGGAGUACGG